GUCAUUGUGGUUCAGCGGUAGAAUUCUUGCCUUCCAUGUUGGACACCCAGGUUUGAUUCCUGGCCAAUACA
rnacentral:tRNA from 1 species